CCGAACCCGGAAGUUAAGCCCGCCAGCGCCGAUGGUACUGCACCGGGGACGGUGUGGGAGAGUAGGACGCCGCCGGAC
rnacentral:rRNA from 1 species